rnacentral:tRNA from 1 species
GCCCGGGUAGCUCAAUCGGUAGAGCGUGUGGCUCUUAGUGACUCUGUUCAUUAGCUACCUCAAGGUCGCGGGUUCGAGCCCCGCCUCGGGCU